UAUUCUGUGGCUUAGUUGGUUAAAGCGCCGGACUAGCGAUAACGGAGUCGUGGGUUCGAAUGCCACCAAAACAA
rnacentral:tRNA from 1 species